rnacentral:lncRNA from 1 species
GUGCUCGGUUCCUCUGCCCCUUUGCAGGCAACUAACCUUCGCUGCCCUGCUUUCGCUGCGUGCCCCCCCCGCCUCCACUUCCAGCUCCAGCUCUCCCCCUCUCCCCCCCCCUCUCCCUCUGAGAGCCUUCACAUCUCAGAGCAAACCUCCCGGCUUCUGCCAGCCGCGAACCUCGAGCGCCCACUAUUUUUAAAACAGGGAACUCAAAACUUUGCGAGGAAAGGGAGCGAGAGCGAGAAGAUUUCCCAAGAACUUGGAAACCAGACGGGGAAGGAGAGAGAGAGAGAGAGAGAGGGAGAGAGAGGAGGAGGAGAAGGAGGAGGAGGAGGAGGUGAAAGAACCGAACAAGGGGGGGGAAAGUUGCACAAGGGCUUCAACUUGGGAGCGAACUUUCGCCGUUCUCCGCCGCGGCGGCCCCCUUCACUUGCUGGCCGCUUUCGUCCCUCCGCUGCCCUCGCGCCAUCCCGGAUCGCCCAGCCAGACGCACGCAGGCGAGCCUUUCCCCCCCACCCCCGCCGCCAAAGGACUGGCAAGAAGCGCACGAAACAGAGAGACCGUCCGGCUCGGCUCGCCUCUGCUCGGCCACGGCUCCCGGGCAGGCUCAUCUCCCGCCCCCCCCCACAGGCAGCGCCGGACGGAGCAAAAGAAGUCGAGACAGGUUCGAAGGAAAUGGCUUGAAAAUCGUUCCAAUGGAGGACGACCAGGGGCUCUUUUCGUCCCCAAAAUCGUGGGAGCUGAGCUACAGGUGGAAGGAAAAAGAGAAAGAAAAAGGGAAAAGAGCUUCAGGAUUAAGGGUUGAAGUUAAGAACAGCAGAGAACCAACUUCUCUUCAUUGCUUACUGCCCUGUGCUGCG